rnacentral:rRNA from 1 species
UACGUAGGUGGCAAGCGUUAUCCGGAAUUAUUGGGCGUAAAGCGCGCGCAGGCGGUUUCUUAAGUCUGAUGUGAAAGCCCACGGCUCAACCGUGGAGGGUCAUUGGAAACUGGGGAACUUGAGUGCAGAAGAGAAAAGCGGAAUUCUACGUGUAGCGGUGAAAUGCGUAGAGAUGUGGAGGAACACCAGUGGCGAAGGCGGCUUUUUGGUCUGUAACUGACGCUGAGGCGCGAAAGCGUGGGGAGCAAACAGG